GAAUUGACGGGGGCCCGCACAAGCGGAGGAACAUGUGGUUUAAUUCGAUGAUACGCGAGGAACCUUACCCGGGCUUGAAUUGCAGAGGAAGGAUUUGGAGACAAUGACGCCCUUCGGGGCCUCUGUGAAGGUGCUGCAUGGUUGUCGUCAGCUCGUGCCGUGAGGUGUCGGCUUAAGUGCCAUAACGAGCGCAACCCCUCUCCUUAGUUGCCAUCAGGUUAAGCUGGGCACUCUGGGGACACUGCCACCGUAAGGUGUGAGGAAGGUGGGGAUGACGUCAAAUCAGCACGGCCCUUACGUCCGGGGCUACACACGUGUUACAAUGGCAGGUACAGAGAGAUGGUGUUCUGCAAAGCGCAUCUAAUCCUUAAAGCCUGUCUCAGUUCGGACUGGGGUCUGCAACCCGACCCCACGAAGCUGGAUUCGCUAGUAAUCGCGCAUCAGCCAUGGCGCGGUGAAUACGUUCCCGGGCCUUGUACACACCGCCCGUCAAGCCAUGAAAGCCGGGGGCGCCUAAAGUCCGUGACCGUAAGGAGCGGCCUAGGGCGAAACUGGUAAUUGGGGCUAAGUCGUAACAAGGUAGCCGUACCGGAAGGUGCGGCUGGAACACCUCCUUU
rnacentral:rRNA from 1 species